UUGCCGCCGAAGUGAGCGAUACCCUGCUUCCAGGAAAAGCCACUAAGCUUCAGCUACACACGACCGUACCGCAAACCGACACUGGUGCGCGAGAUGAGUAUUCUAAGGCGCUUGAGAGAACUCUGGAGAAGGAACUCGGCAAAUUGACACCGUAACUUCGGAAGAAGGUGUGCCUUUAGUAGGUGAUCCAUUUACUUGGUGAGCCCAAUGAGGCCGCAGAGAAUCGGUGGCUGCAACUGUUUAAUAAAAACACAGCACUCUGCAAAGACGAAAGUCGACGUAUAGGGUGUGACGCCUGCCCGGUGCUGGAAGAUUAAAUGAUGGGGUGCAAGCUCUUGAUUGAAGUCCCAGUAAACGGCGGCCGUAACAAUAACGGUCCUAAGGUAGCGAAAUUCCUUGUCGGGUAAGUUCCGACCUGCACGAAUGGCGUAAUGAUGGCCACACUGUCUCCUCCAGAGACUCAGCGAAGUUGAAAUGUUUGUGAUGAUGCAAUCUCCCCGCGGAAAGACGGAAAGACCCCAUGAACCUUUACUGUAGCUUUACAUUGGACUUUGAACAGAUCUGUGUAGGAUAGGUGGGAGGCUUUGAAGCGGUGCCGCUAGGUGUCGUGGAGCCAACCUUGAAAUACCACCCUGGUGUGUUUGAGGUUCUAACCUUGGCCCGUUAUCCGGGUUGGGGACAGUGUAUGGUGGGCAGUUUGACUGGGGCGGUCUCCUCCCAAAGUGUAACGGAGGAGUUCGAAGGUACGCUAAAUACGGUCGGAAAUCGUGUUGAUAGUGCAUUGGCAUAAGCGUGCUUGACUGCGAGACUGACAAGUCGAGCAGGUACGAAAGUAGGACAAAGUGAUCCGGUGGUUCUGUAUGGAAGGGCCAUCGCUCAACGGAUAAAAGGUACUCUGGGGAUAACAGGCUGAUACCGCCCAAGAGUUCAUAUCGACGGCGGUGUUUGGCACCUCGAUGUCGGCUCAUCUCAUCCUGGGGCUGUAGCCGGUCCCAAGGGUAUGGCUGUUCGCCAUUUAAAGAGGUACGUGAGCUGGGUUUAAAACGUCGUGAGACAGUUUGGUCCCUAACUUCCGUGGGCGCUGCAAGAUUGAGAGAGCCUGCUCCUAGUACGAGAGGACCGGAGUGGACGCACCGCUGGUGUAUCGGUUGUCAUGCCAAUGGCAUUGCCGAGUAGCUAAGUGCGGAAGAGAUAACCGCUGAAAGCAUCUAAGCGGGAAACUCGUCUCAAGAUGAGUCUUGCCGGGGCCCUGAGCCCCCUGAAGGGUCGUUCGAGACCAGGACGUUGAUAGGUCGGGUGUGGAAGCGCAGCAAUGCGUUAAGCUAACCGAUACUAAUUGCCCGUGAGGCUUGACCCU
rnacentral:rRNA from 1 species